rnacentral:rRNA from 1 species
ACCGAGGGUGCGAGCGUUAAUCGGAAUUACUGGGCGUAAAGCGCGCGUAGGCGGUUUGAUCAGUCGGAUGUGAAAUCCCCGGGCUUAACCUGGGAAUUGCAUUCGAUACUGUCAAGCUGGAGUAUGGUAGAGGUGAGUGGAAUUCCUGGUGUAGCGGUGAAAUGCGUAGAUAUCAGGAGGAACAUCAGUGGCGAAGGCGACUCACUGGACCAAUACUGACGCUGAGGUGCGAAAGCGUGGGGAGCAAACAGG